GUGGCCCGGCCCCCAGGUUCCCAGGGCAGCUGGGUCAGCAACUUUAGACACACACACACAAACUCACACACACAUACCAUGAAGUACCCUCUGGUGCCGCUGGUGAACGAGCUGACAUUUUCUUUCCUGGCAUCCUGGCUCUGCCUGCCCGUGGGCUUGCUAUUGUUCUUAUUGAUCGUCUGGCUACGCUUCCUACUCAGCCAAGAUUCGGAGGAAAAUGACUCAGAUCUGUGUUUUGAUUGGGAGCCCUGGAGCAAAGGUCCUGCUGAGUUUUGCCAGGAGGAGACACUUCAUAGCCCAGAGGAGGAGAGGCCCUGCUGGUGAGCCUAUACUGCCAGAUCCAGCAUUUCACUGGUUCCCAGCUUGGUUUUGCCAGAGUCAGCGGGGCUGUGGCCGAGGCCAGCAUGGACAGAAGACUUGCCGGGGAGGCAAGAGGGCUUUGGCGAGUGACCUGCUUGCCUGGACCCCCAGCUCAUCUCCUCCACCGAGGGACAUACGACACCUCCAGAGACGCGGCUCUUCUCUCUUCCAGACAAGCUCCCAGCCCCCUGGGGGGAGGCCCGAGACCCUGAAGGCCACCACAAACGCCAAGAAGGAACCAAGAUAACCUAGUGAGGUGGGGUUGACAUGAAUCCUGGAACUGCAUGGCAGGGUGUUUGGAGAUUGUAGCAGGUUAUGGGCCUUUAAGUGACCUCAGUUUCUCCAAAGAGCCCAGACUGGAUGAAGCAUGAAUUUAGCCCAGCAGUAGUCCCACAGUUCUAUGAGAAACUGUUGCCCUCACCACCUGACUUAACUCUGGCCUCUCUGAUAUGCAGUGUAAAGUUGAGGAAAUGCACCUGGAGUACCUCUAACGAGUGCUCGUGAGGGGCUAUCAUCACGAUUAUUAAUUAUUAACAAGAGCCAGGCAGCCUGAAAUGCAGCAUACGCGGACUAAAACGAGCCCUGCUGCCUCCAGCUUUUGAGAGGGAGGAGGAUGAAGUUUGGAAAGAUGCCCUCCAGUGGAAGCAUUUCCUUGGGCCAGUGCUGAAAAGGACCCCUGAGCAGACCCUUAGACUGCUGUUCCCUCUUCUGAGAAUGCACUUCCACCCCAUUUCUGCCUGCUGAAACUUUCCAGCAUACAGUCAACAAAGAUUUCUGUUGAGAGCCAGGAACUGGGGAUGGAGCAUUGAAUCAACACAGACCUUCCCUUCAGAGUCUAGGGAAGGAAGAAAAAAUUAAAAUAGUAAAACAAAAUAAAGUAAAAUAAAAUAGAAAA